rnacentral:sRNA from 1 species
CCUCGCGCCGCCCGCCCGGCAGCCCGGCCGGCGCGCGCACGCCGCGAGCCGCUGGCGCUCGGGCUCCGCUCGGAUCCCAUGCAACAGCCAGGAUGUGAAGCGGGGCAGAGCCGGGGGAGCCCAGCCCAGCCAGCCUCCAGACGCUGCCCCAUCUGACACUCGGCUCGAGGCCUCUCUGUGAGGGACCGGGGGGCCAUCCCCCUCCAGGGCGGAGAUCGGAGGUCGCUGCCAAGCAUGGCGCCCACCUGGGGCCCUGGCAUGGUGUCUGUGGUUGGUCCCAUGGGCCUCCUUGUGGUCCUGCUCGUUGGAGGCUGUGCAGCAGAAGAGCCCCCCAGGUUUAUCAAAGAACCCAAGGACCAGAUUGGCGUGUCGGGGGGUGUGGCCUCUUUCGUGUGUCAGGCCACAGGUGACCCCAAGCCACGAGUGACCUGGAACAAGAAGGGCAAGAAGGUCAACUCUCAGCGCUUUGAGACGAUUGAGUUUGAUGAGAGUGCAGGGGCAGUGCUGAGGAUCCAGCCGCUGAGGACACCACGGGAUGAAAACGUGUACGAGUGUGUGGCCCAGAACUCGGUUGGGGAGAUCACAGUCCAUGCCAAGCUCACUGUCCUCCGAGAGGACCAGCUGCCCUCCGGCUUCCCCAACAUCGACAUGGGCCCACAGUUGAAGGUGGUGGAGCGGACACGGACAGCCACCAUGCUCUGUGCGGCCAGCGGCAACCCUGACCCUGAGAUCACCUGGUUCAAGGACUUCCUGCCUGUGGAUCCUAGUGCCAGCAAUGGACGCAUCAAACAGCUGCGAUCGGGAGCCCUGCAGAUUGAAAGCAGUGAGGAAACCGACCAGGGCAAAUAUGAGUGUGUGGCCACCAACAGCGCCGGUGUGCGCUACUCCUCACCAGCCAACCUCUACGUGCGAGUCCGCCGCGUGGCGCCGCGCUUCUCCAUCCUGCCCAUGAGCCACGAGAUCAUGCCAGGGGGCAACGUGAACAUCACCUGCGUGGCCGUGGGCUCGCCCAUGCCGUACGUGAAGUGGAUGCAGGGGGCCGAGGACCUGACCCCCGAGGAUGACAUGCCCGUGGGUCGGAACGUGCUGGAACUCACAGACGUCAAGGACUCGGCCAACUACACCUGCGUGGCCAUGUCCAGCCUGGGCGUCAUCGAGGCGGUUGCUCAGAUCACGGUGAAAUCUCUCCCCAAAGCUCCCGGGACUCCCGUGGUGACCGAGAACACAGCCACCAGCAUCACCAUCACGUGGGACUCGGGCAACCCAGACCCUGUGUCCUAUUACGUCAUUGAAUAUAAAUCCAAGAGCCAGGACGGGCCGUAUCAGAUUAAAGAGGACAUCACCACCACGCGUUACAGCAUCGGCGGCCUGAGCCCCAACUCAGAGUACGAGAUCUGGGUGUCGGCCGUCAACUCCAUCGGCCAGGGGCCCCCCAGCGAGUCCGUGGUCACCCGCACAGGCGAGCAGGCCCCGGCCAGCGCACCGCGAAAUGUGCAAGCCCGUAUGCUCAGCGCCACCACCAUGAUUGUGCAGUGGGAGGAGCCAGUGGAGCCCAACGGCCUGAUCCGCGGCUACCGUGUCUACUACACCAUGGAGCCGGAGCACCCUGUGGGCAACUGGCAGAAGCACAACGUGGACGACAGCCUGCUGACCACCGUGGGCAGCUUGCUGGAGGACGAGACCUACACCGUGCGGGUGCUCGCCUUCACCUCCGUCGGCGACGGGCCCCUCUCGGACCCCAUCCAGGUCAAGACACAGCAGGGAGUGCCCGGCCAGCCCAUGAACCUGCGGGCCGAGGCCAGGUCGGAGACCAGCAUCACGCUGUCCUGGAGCCCCCCGCGGCAGGAGAGUAUCAUCAAGUACGAGCUCCUCUUCCGGGAAGGCGACCACGGCCGGGAGGUGGGAAGGACCUUCGACCCGACGACUUCCUACGUGGUGGAGGACCUGAAGCCCAACACGGAGUACGCCUUCCGCCUGGCGGCCCGCUCGCCGCAGGGCCUGGGUGCCUUCACCCCCGUGGUGCGGCAGCGCACGCUGCAGUCCAUCUCGCCCAAGAACUUCAAGGUGAAAAUGAUCAUGAAGACGUCAGUUCUGCUCAGCUGGGAGUUCCCGGACAACUACAACUCACCCACGCCCUACAAGAUCCAGUACAAUGGGCUCACACUGGAUGUGGAUGGCCGUACCACCAAGAAGCUCAUCACGCACCUCAAGCCCCACACCUUCUACAACUUUGUGCUGACCAAUCGCGGCAGCAGCCUGGGCGGCCUCCAGCAGACGGUCACCGCCUGGACUGCCUUCAACCUGCUCAACGGCAAGCCCAGCGUAGCCCCCAAGCCUGACGCCGACGGCUUCAUCAUGGUGUAUCUUCCUGACGGCCAGAGCCCCGUGCCUGUCCAGAGCUAUUUCAUUGUGAUGGUGCCACUGCGCAAGUCUCGUGGAGGCCAAUUCCUGACCCCGCUGGGUAGCCCAGAGGACAUGGAUCUGGAGGAGCUCAUCCAGGACAUUUCACGGCUACAGAGGCGCAGCCUGCGGCACUCGCGUCAGCUGGAGGUGCCCCGGCCCUAUAUCGCAGCUCGCUUCUCUGUGCUGCCGCCCACGUUCCAUCCCGGCGACCAGAAGCAGUAUGGCGGCUUCGAUAACCGGGGCCUGGAGCCCGGCCACCGCUAUGUCCUCUUUGUGCUUGCUGUGCUUCAGAAGAGCGAGCCUACUUUUGCAGCCAGUCCCUUCUCAGACCCCUUCCAGCUGGAUAACCCGGACCCCCAGCCCAUCGUGGAUGGCGAGGAGGGGCUUAUCUGGGUGAUCGGGCCUGUGCUGGCCGUGGUCUUCAUAAUCUGCAUUGUCAUUGCUAUCCUGCUCUACAAGAACAAGCCCGACAGUAAACGCAAGGACUCAGAACCCCGCACCAAAUGCCUCCUGAACAAUGCCGACCUCGCCCCUCACCACCCCAAGGACCCUGUGGAAAUGAGACGCAUUAACUUCCAGACUCCAGAUUCAGGCCUCAGGAGCCCCCUCAGGGAGCCGGGGUUUCACUUUGAAAGCAUGCUUAGCCACCCGCCAAUCCCCAUCGCAGACAUGGCGGAGCACACGGAGCGGCUCAAGGCCAACGACAGCCUCAAGCUCUCCCAGGAGUAUGAGUCCAUUGACCCUGGACAGCAGUUCACGUGGGAACAUUCCAACCUGGAAGUGAACAAGCCGAAGAACCGCUAUGCCAACGUCAUCGCCUAUGACCACUCCCGCGUCAUCCUCCAGCCCAUUGAAGGCAUCGUGGGCAGCGAUUACAUCAAUGCCAACUACGUGGACGGCUACCGGCGUCAGAACGCGUACAUUGCCACGCAGGGGCCGCUGCCUGAGACCUUUGGGGACUUCUGGCGUAUGGUGUGGGAGCAGCGGUCGGCCACCAUCGUCAUGAUGACGCGGCUGGAAGAGAAGUCACGGAUCAAGUGUGAUCAGUACUGGCCCAACAGAGGCACGGAGACCUAUGGCUUCAUCCAGGUUACGUUGCUGGACACCAUCGAGCUGGCCACAUUCUGUGUCAGGACAUUCUCUCUGCACAAGAAUGGCUCCAGUGAGAAACGUGAGGUCCGCCAGUUCCAGUUUACAGCAUGGCCAGACCAUGGCGUGCCUGAAUACCCAACGCCCUUCCUGGCUUUCCUGCGGAGAGUCAAGACCUGCAACCCACCAGAUGCCGGCCCCAUCGUGGUUCACUGCAGGUACGUCCACCCCACUCUGCCCCAUCCACUUCCCCCGGUCCCCGCAGCCCUUGAACGCCACAUGGCUGUCCCCACAGUGCCGGUGUGGGCCGCACAGGCUGCUUUAUUGUCAUCGACGCCAUGCUUGAGCGGAUCAAGCCAGAGAAGACAGUCGAUGUCUAUGGCCACGUGACGCUCAUGAGGUCCCAGCGCAACUACAUGGUGCAGACGGAGGACCAGUACAGCUUCAUCCAUGAGGCCCUGCUGGAGGCCGUGGGCUGUGGCAACACAGAAGUGCCCGCACGCAGCCUCUAUGCCUACAUCCAGAAGCUGGCCCAGGUGGAGCCUGGCGAGCACGUCACUGGCAUGGAACUCGAGUUCAAGCGGCUGGCUAACUCCAAGGCCCACACGUCACGCUUCAUCAGUGCCAAUCUGCCUUGUAACAAGUUCAAGAACCGCCUGGUGAACAUCAUGCCCUAUGAGAGCACACGGGUCUGUCUGCAGCCCAUCCGGGGUGUGGAGGGCUCUGACUACAUCAAUGCCAGCUUCAUUGAUGGCUACAGGCAGCAGAAGGCCUACAUCGCGACACAGGGGCCGCUGGCAGAGACCACAGAAGACUUUUGGCGCAUGCUGUGGGAGAACAAUUCGACGAUCGUGGUGAUGCUGACCAAGCUGCGGGAGAUGGGCCGGGAGAAAUGUCACCAGUACUGGCCGGCCGAGCGCUCUGCCCGCUACCAGUACUUUGUGGUAGAUCCGAUGGCAGAAUACAACAUGCCUCAGUAUAUUCUGCGAGAAUUCAAGGUCACAGAUGCCCGGGAUGGCCAGUCCCGGACUGUCCGGCAGUUCCAGUUCACAGACUGGCCGGAACAGGGUGUGCCAAAGUCGGGGGAGGGCUUCAUCGACUUCAUUGGCCAAGUGCAUAAGACCAAGGAGCAGUUUGGCCAGGAUGGCCCCAUCUCUGUCCACUGCAGUGCCGGCGUGGGCAGGACGGGCGUCUUCAUCACGCUUAGCAUCGUGCUGGAGCGGAUGCGGUACGAAGGCGUGGUCGACAUCUUUCAGACGGUGAAGAUGCUACGAACCCAGCGGCCUGCCAUGGUGCAGACAGAGACGGAGCCUCGCUUUAUCGCCCAGGCUGGAGUGCAGUGGUGCGAUCUCGGCUCACUGCAAGCUCCGCCUCCCGGGUUCACACCAUUCUCCUGCCUCAGCCUCCCGAGUGGCUGGGACUACAGGAUCGAGGCCAUCAAGCUACAGAUGAUCUUACAAAUGGAACUCCAAAUGAGCUCAACUAUCAACUUCUACCGAGGACCCCUGGACCAACCCGCUGGCCCUUUCACUGGCCUAAAUAGUUCCCCUCUGGAGGACACUACAACUGAAGGGCCCCUUCUUCGCCCCUAUCCAGCAGGAAGUAGCUAGAGCAGUCAUCGCCCAAUUCCCAACAGCAGUUGGGGUGUCCUGUUUAGAGGGGGGACUGAGAGGUGAAGCCAGCUGGGCUUCCUGGGUGGAGUGGAGACUUGGAGAACUUUUCUGUCUUACAAAAGGUUUGUAAAAUGCACCAAUCAGCAAUCUGUAAAAAUGCACCAAUCAGCGCUCUGUAGCUAGAGGUUUGUAAAAUGCACCAAUUAGUGCUCUACAAAAUGGAUCAAUCAGCACUCUGUAAAAUGGACCAAUCAGCAGGACAUGGGCAGGGACAAAUAAGGGAAUAAAAGCUGGCCACCCCAGCCAGCAGUGGCAACCUGCUCAGGUCCCCUUCCAUGCUGUGGAAGCUUUGUUCUUUUGCUCUUCACAAUAAAUCUUGCUGCUGCUCAGUCUUUGGGUCCGUGACACCUUUAAGAGCUGUAACACUC